UCUGACAGACACUUGAGCUCUGAAAGGUUCGCCAUCACUGACAUCGGCUCCCCCUCCUGGAGGUGAAGAGCUCCUGAAGGCCAGGGGUGCACCACAGGAGGACCAACCCCGGCCAGGUUUUUCUCCUCAGAAAGAAAAGGUUGACAGCUCCAUGUGCCAGCUGCCCACUGUCACCGGUGAGCUAAUAACUGAUUUUGGAUGCACUUCUGCUAAUUUCAAGUGAUGGCCACCCAUAUCUCCUCAGGCAAAUGUCCUCCUCCUUUGCGCAUCUGUUUCACUGGUAGUUCACUUUGUAGCCCAGGCUGGUCUCAAACUUGCAAGGAUCCUCCUGCCUCAGCCUCCCAAGUGCUGGGAUUAUAGAAGUGCACCACCACGCCUGGUUUCCAGAACUGUUUUUCCCAUCUGCUGCAUGAGGAUUGGAGUAGAGGAACAUUUCCCAAACUGAAAAAUGGAGAGAAUGUGAAAGAAGAAGAUGGGUGAGGGCGAAUAUUUAGCUGAAUAUUUUGCAAAAAGUCACAUAGCACCUCUUCAAUAUUAAAGACUCUAAGAUUGUGUUGUUCAGUAGCCUUCAGCCACAUAAGAUAUUUAUUUACAAAAAAAGAUAUUUACUUGCCUUUUAAGACAGGGGUCUCGGGGGCUGGAGGUUUAGCUCAGCGGCAUAAGCACCUGCCUUGGAAGCAGGCAGUCGUGAGUUCGAUCCCCGGUACCGAUAAAAACGAAAAAGCCAAAAAAAAAAAAAAAAAAAAAAAGACAGGGGUCUCAAGUUGUCCUUGAAUUUGUGAUCGUCCUGCCUCAGCCUCUCAUGUGCUGCGAUCAGAGGCAUGUAUCACCAUACCUGGCUUAUCU